UACGUAGGGCGCAAGCGUUAUCCGGAAUUAUUGGGCGUAAAGAGCUCGUAGGCGGCUUGUCGCGUCGUCUGUGAAAUCCCGCGGCUCAACCGCGGGUCUGCAGUCGAUACGGGCAGGCUAGAGUUCGGUAGGGGAGACUGGAAUUCCUGGUGUAGCGGUGAAAUGCGCAGAUAUCAGGAGGAACACCGGUGGCGAAGGCGGCCCCCUGGGCAGUAACUGACACUGAGGCGCGACAGCGUGGGGAGCAAACAGG
rnacentral:rRNA from 1 species